rnacentral:rRNA from 1 species
GUUGAAACUGCAUGGCUGGCGUGAGUGUGAGGUAGGCGGAAUGCGUUGUGUAGCGGUGAAAUGCAUAGAUAUGACGCAGAACUCCGAUUGCGAAGGCAGCUUACCAACACUUUACGGACGCUGAGGCACGAAAGCGUGGGUAUCGAACAGGAUUAGAUACCCUGGUAGUCCACGCAGUAAACGAUGAAUACUAAUUGUUCGGGGGUCAACCCCUGAGUGAUACAGCGAAAGCGUUAAGUAUUCCACCUGGGGAGUACGCCGGCAACGGUGAAACUCAAAGGAAUUGACGGGGGCCCGCACAAGCGGAGGAACAUGUGGUUUAAUUCGAUGAUACGCGAGGAACCUUACCCGGGCUCAAACGUUGGGGGAAUGCUCCUGAAAGGGAGCAGCCAGCAAUGGUCGCCAACGAGGUGCCGCAUGGUUGUCGUCAGCUCGUGCCGUGAGGUGUCGGCUUAAGUGCCAUAACGAGCGCAACCCUUAUCUUUAGUUACUAACAGGUUAUGCUGAGGACUCUAGAGAGACUGCCGUCGUAAGAUGUGAGGAAGGUGGGGAUGACGUCAAAUCAGCACGGCCCUUACGUCCGGGGCUACACACGUGUUACAAUGGGGGGUACAGAAGGCAGCUAGCGGGUGACCGUAUGCUAAUCCCAAAAGCCUCUCUCAGUUCGGAUCGAAGUCUGCAACCCGACUUCGUGAAGCUGGAUUCGCUAGUAAUCGCGCAUCAGCCACGGCGCGGUGAAUACGUUCCCGGGCCUUGUACACACCGCCCGUCAAGCCAUGGGAGCCGGGGGUACCUGAAGUACGUAACCGCAAGGAUCGUCCUAGGGUAAAACUGGUGACUGGGGCUAAGUCGUAACAAGGUAGCCGUAA